rnacentral:rRNA from 1 species
UUAGACGUUCUGGGCCGCACGCGCGCUACACUGACGGAGCCAGCGAGUUUGCCUUAGCCGAGAGGUUUGGGAAAUCUUGAGAAACUCCGUCGUGCUGGGGAUAGAGCAUUGUAAUUAUUGCUCUUCAACGAGGAAUUCCUAGUAAGCGCAAGUCAUCAGCUUGCGUUGAUUACGUCCCUGCCCUUUGUACACACCGCCCGUCGCUACUACCGAUUGAAUGGCUUAGUGAGGCCUCUGGAUUAAACCCUGGGCCGGGGCGACCCGGCUUUGGGUUGAGAAACUGGUCAAACUUGGUCAUUUAGAGGAAGUAAAAGUCGUAACAAGGUUUCCGUAGGUGAACCUGCGGAAGGAUCAUUAAAAAAUUAUUAUACACACUUUUAGGAACAAACAAACUGAACCUUUUUUUUUCAAAAAAACACAAAAAAAAACUUUCAACAACGGAUCUCUUGGUUCUCGCAUCGAUGAAGAACGCAGCGAAUUGCGAUACGUAAUAUGACUUGCAGACGUGAAUCAUUGAAUCUUUGAACGCACAUUGCGCCCCGGGGUAUUCCCCAGGGCAUGCGUGGGUGAGCGAUAUUUACUCUCAAACCUUCGGUUUGGUUUUGCCCCGGCUAAAUAUCAACGGCGCUAGAAUAAGUUUUAGCCCCCUCCUUUUUCCUCACCCUCGUAAGACUACCCGCUGAACUUAAGCAUAUCAAUAAGCGGAGGAAAAGAAACCAACAGGGAUUGCCCCAGUAACGGCGAGUGAAGCGGCAAAAGCUCAAAUUUGAAAUCCUCAGGGAAUUGUAAUUUGAAGAUGUUUGGGUCAAGGCUAGCAGAGGUUAAGUCCACUGGAACGUGGCGCCACAGAGGGUGACAGCCCCGUGAACCUCCUAAAGCCCCUUACCCCAAACCUCCAAGAGUCGAGUUGUUUGGGAAUG